rnacentral:ncRNA from 1 species
GUGAAAACGAUGAAGAGAAGAAGUAAAUAGUGCAAUUUUACGAGAGAGCUUCCGCUGGUGGAAAGAAGCAAAAUGAACUAUUGAACCAUGGUCUCAGAGUUUUACUAGUGAGUGGUGCGAUAAACAAGCUAGUAACGAAAUGGCAGUCGUUAACCUGCUAAAGUCAUGUUCGAUGAUGACUUACUGAGUCAAGUUUGUGCGAGCAGCUUGAAAAGUAAGGUGGUACCACGUUAGCUAACCACGUCCUUACC